UACAGAGGGUGCGAGCGUUAAUCGGAAUUACUGGGCGUAAAGCGUGCGUAGACGGCUAUCUAAGUCGGGUGUGAAAGCCCCGGGCUCAACCUGGGAAUUGCAUUCGAGACUGAAUAGCUAGGGUACGGUAGAGGGUAGUGGAAUUCCCGGUGUAGCAGUGAAAUGCGUAGAGAUCGGGGGGAACACCAGUGGCGAAGGCGGCUACCUGGACCAGCACUGACACUGAGGCACGAAAGCGUGGGGAGCAAACAGG
rnacentral:rRNA from 1 species